rnacentral:rRNA from 1 species
AUUGAACGCUGGCGGCAGGCCUAACACAUGCAAGUCGAGCGGAUGAAGGGUGCUUGCUCCUGGAUUCAGCGGCGGACGGGUGAGUAAUGCCUAGGAAUCUGCCUGGUAGUGGGGGAUAACGUCCGGAAACGGGCGCUAAUACCGCAUACGACCUGCGGGAGAAAGAGGGGGAUCUUCGGACCUCACGCUAUCAGAUGAGCCUAGGUCGGAUUAGCUAGUUGGUGGGGUAAAGGCCUACCAAGGCGACGAUCCGUAACUGGUCUGAGAGGAUGAUCAGUCACACUGGAACUGAGACACGCUCCAGACUCCUACGGGAGGCAGCAGUGUGGAAUAUUGGACAAUGGGCGAAAGCCUGAUCCAGCCAUGCCGCGUGUGUGAAGAAGGUCUUCGGAUUGUAAAGCACUUUAAGUGGUGAGGAAGGGCAGUAAGUUAAUACCUUGCUGUUUUGACGUUACCAACAGAAUAAGCACCGGCUAACUUCGUG